UACGGGGGGGGCAAGCGUUGUUCGGAAUUACUGGGCGUAAAGGGCUUGUAGGCGGCCAACUAAGUCGGACGUGAAAUCCCCAGGCUCAACCUGGGAACUGCGUCCGAUACUGGAUGGCUUGAAUUCGGGAGAGGGAUGCAGAAUUCCAGGUGUAGCGGUGAAAUGCGUAGAUAUCGAGAGGAACACCAGUGGCGAAGGCGAGUCCCUGGACACUUCCUGACACUGAGGCACGAAAGCUAGGGGAGCAAACAGG
rnacentral:rRNA from 1 species